UACGUAGGGUGCGAGCGUUGUCCGGAAUUAUUGGGCGUAAAGGGCUCGUAGGCGGUCUGUCACGUCGAAAGUGAAAACUCAGGGCUCAACCCUGAGCCUGCUUCCGAUACGGGCAGACUAGAGGUAUGCAGGGGAGAAUGGAAUUCCUGGUGUAGCGGUGAAAUGCGCAGAUAUCAGGAGGAACACCAGUGGCGAAGGCAGCUCGCUGGGACGUUACUGACGCUGAGACGCGAAAGCGUGGGGAGCAAACAGG
rnacentral:rRNA from 1 species